rnacentral:tRNA from 1 species
CCCUGGUAGCUCAAAUGGUAAAGAAUCUGCCUGCAGUGCAGGAGACCUAGGUUCGAUUCCUGCAUCAGGAA